rnacentral:rRNA from 1 species
AUUUACUGGGCGUAAAGGGUCCGUAGGCGGCCAUGUGUGUCGGGUGUGAAAUCCUGCAGCUUAACUGCAGAACUGCGCUCGAAACUACAUGGCUAGAGUAUUGGAGAGGUGAGUGGAAUUCCAGGUGUAGCGGUGAAAUGCGUAGAUAUCUGGAGGAACACCAACGGCGAAGGCAGCUCACUGGACAAUCACUGACGCUGAGGGACGAAAGCGUGGGGAGCGAAAGGGAUUAGAUACCCCUGUAGUCCACGCCGUAAACGUUGUACACUCGCUAUUGGCGGCUUCGACCCCGUCAGUGGCUAAGCUAACGCGAUAAGUGUACCGCCUGAGGACUACGGCCGCAAGGCUAAAACUCAAAGGAAUUGACGGGUCCCCGCACAAGCGGUGGAGCAUGUGGCUUAAUUCGAUGCAACGCGAAGAACCUUACCAGGCCUUGACAUGUAGUGGACCGGGACAGAGAUGUCCCUUCUCUUCGGAGCCGCUUCACAGGUGCUGCAUGGCUGUCGUCAGCUCGUGUCGUGAGAUGUUCGGUUAAGUCCGUCAACGAGCGCAACCCCUGUCCUUAGUUGCCAGCAUUCAGUUGGGGACUCUAAGGAGACAAUUCCGCAUUUGCGGGAGGGAAGGUGGGGAUGACGUCAAGUCAGUAUGGCCCUUACGGCCUGGGCUGCACACGUGCUACAAUGCCCGGUACAGUGGGAUGCUACUCCGCGAGGAGAUGCCAACCCCCAAAGCCGGGCCCAGUUCGGAUUGGAGUCUGCAACUCGACUCCAUGAAGUUGGAAUCGCUAGUAAUGGCUUAUCAGCAACGAAGCCGUGAAUACGUUCCCGGGGAUUGUACACACCGCCCGUCACAUCAUGAAAGCCGGUUUCGCCCGAAGUACGUGAGCCAACCCCUUGUGGGAAGCAGCGUCCGACGGUGAGGCUGGUGAUUGGGAUG